rnacentral:lncRNA from 1 species
AUGCAGGUGCUAGCCGUGCCUGGCAGAGGCAGCCGGUCAGCCCGACCCAGCGCCAUGUUCACCAAUCUGGACACCGGAAAAGCACAAGAGUCUGAAUUUACCAUGGACAACUUGAUCACCCUCAGAUGGGAUGUGUUUAGUGCAGGAACAGAGACAACAAGCAUCACCCUGAUAUAUGGACUCUUGCUCCUGCUGAAGUACCAAGAGAUCACAGGAAGAGAUUAAACAUGUGGUUGGCAGAAACUGGAGCCCCCUGCAUGCAGGACAGGAGCCGCAUGCCCUACAUGGAUGCUGUGGUGCAUGAGAUACAUUGACCUGGUCCCCACCAACCUGCCCCACAAAGCAACUCAGGACAUUAAAUUCAGAGACUAUCUUAUUCCCAAGGUGAGAGGUAUUUCAUCUAUACUGCUCUUUCAUAAUCUUAGGUUAUCAGCUAUCACAAUGGUGGAAUAAUAGAUUGCCUGUCUACAGGUGUUGCACAGUUAUAACUCAGGCAUUUCACCCUCUGACCACAUUCUAGUUUGCUGACACAGUUGAAUAAAUUAAAUACUACUUAGAAAGUAUUUUCA